rnacentral:rRNA from 1 species
AGUGAACGCUGGCGGUAGGCCUAACACAUGCAAGUCGAACGGCAGCACAGUAAGAGCUUGCUCUUACGGGUGGCGAGUGGCGGACGGGUGAGGAAUACAUCGGAAUCUACUUUUUCGUGGGGGAUAACGUAGGGAAACUUACGCUAAUACCGCAUACGACCUACGGGUGAAAUCAGGGGAUCUUCGGACCUUGCGCGAUUGAAUGAGCCGAUGUCGGAUUAGCUAGUUGGCGGGGUAAAGGCCCACCAAGGCGACGAUCCGUAGCUGGUCUGAGAGGAUGAUCAGCCACACUGGAACUGAGACACGGUCCAGACUCCUACGGGAGGCAGCAGUGGGGAAUAUUCGACAAUGGGCGCAAGCCUGAUCCAGCCAUACCGCGUGGGUGAAGAAGGCCUUCGGGUUGUAAAGCCCUUUUGUUGGGAAAGAAAAGCAGCAGGUUAAUACCCCGCUGUUCUGACGGUACCCAAAGAAUAAGCACCGGCUAACUUCGUG